CAUACCUUAAAAAUAAAAAUCACAAUUCUUUAAACAGUUCUGGUUGACUUAACAUUUAACAUACAGGUUUCAUUCUGCGCUGAUUUUCUUUCCACAUCUGUUUUAAAGCACCACUACACUGUAAUAGUUUAUUUCAGCUUUCUAUGACUCCCUACUACUUGGAUUACAAAUAGUAACAAAUAAUUCAGAGUCCACGCAUACAUAGUCACUCUGUAACAAGUGAUGAAACAUUUUUUAUUUUGUGCACCCACAAAGCAUGCACAGUCUAACUAUGGAACAAAAAUCAUAACUUUUUUUAAAGAAAUCAAUUAAUUGUAUGGUGACAGAAUUGGUGUGGCCAGCUCAAAAGCAGCACUGACAAUCAAAGAAUGGGGGCAGAGCUGCAGAAGAAUAAGCAUCUCCUUUGUUCUUAGCAGCAGUGCUGAGUUAAGCCCCAUAAAACUGAACAAGGAAGGACAGCUGGAUACUUAACAUUUCCUGUUAACUCUCAGUGAGAAAGUCGUCAACAUGAAUAAGCAUUCACUGUAACUGCUGCUGUCUGAAGAUCUCAACAGGGCUAACAGAUAUGUUGGAAAAUCUUACCUAUCCACUCCACUGAGAAGAGAGCAUAUGUCAGCACUCAGGACAGAGGGCAGCAUGUCGUAACGACGGUCUGCUAAGUAGUAAGUUGUGGCCCUGAAGAAUAAAACACAUGUGCUGUUCUUCUCA